UUGGUGCUUUUAUAUUCCUUUAGCCCUUUUCCAACUAGAUUCUGAUACCUUGCUUCAUUUUGAUUUCAGGAACAGUGCACUUUGUGUAUAUCAAAUAAGGAUCAGCUAAAAUCGCAGCUGUGUGUGGCCUAACGGUCAUUGGAAUUAGUGAAAGUCACGGGAAAUCAAAAUUUAGAUUCCAGUACCAGUGAAAUAGUUGAGAUGUGACAAAGCUAGUCAUUCACCGCUAUUAUGAAAGAAAGAAAAGGAGGAUCUAAAAGGAGUAAAAGCACAAUUGACUAACUUAUUUUUAGACUAACAAACAUUUCUCUGUUGUGCUUCUUUAUAGGCCCACAGAUAUAUAUAUGAGGAAAUACUCCAUCCAAGCUUUUGAUACACAUACCAAAUAGAAGGCUGAAAAGAAGACAGAAAGUGGAGGGGUUAGAUUAUAUUAUCAUGAGCACUCAAUUGAGUCCAAACAAAUUUGAUAAUAGACAUGCCAAAAGGAUUUGUAAAAGGGUAACAAACUUAAUAUUUUAUGCACUGUGACAAAGACUACUCAUUGCAAAUGAGUAAUUGCAGAAAAUAAUAUUAACCAAAAGAGUAUGUAGCUGUCAAGAAAUAUCAAAUCCGUACAAUGAGCUGCUAGUUGUUAAUCUGAGCUGGAAAUGAGAGGAUCCCCUUGUCGUGUCUUUCUCCUGUUUAAGAUUCUCUGGUCCUAGAGAUUUGAUAUCAAUGGUUAGAGCACAACACGUGAUAUGUAAGUUUUCCUGAUGUGCUAAGUUUUGUAAGUCUCGUAACGAGCGCAACCCUCCUAUUUAAUUGUCAUUUUUUAGUUUGGAACCCUGAAUAGACCGUCAAUGAUAUAGCCAUAGGAAGAUGAGGAUGACUUCUGUUGACAGAGGCGGACCCAGGAUUUUGAGUUCGGGGGUGCUGGAUUCAGGAAUUUUGAGUUCGGGGGUGCUCUAUUAACUAUUUAUAUAUGUUUCCUUUAUAUUUUC